rnacentral:misc_RNA from 1 species
AAGUCGUAACAAGGUCUCCGUAGGUGAACCUGCGGAGGGAUCAUUAACACGUAUCCACGUAUUAACACAACGUGAACUAUAAUUGCGUAAGAAGAAAAGUUAUAGAACCUUUGUGUUCUAUUUCUUUUUUUCGACAAUUUUUUUAACGCUAUUUCAAUUCGAAAACAUUUCUCCUCAAAACAGAAAUGAAAACAAAAAAAACAAAUCAUGACUUAAUUGAGUAGUUUUUAAGAUAUUUUAUUAGAUCUUAAAAUCUAUUUUUCUUACGAAAAAUUAAAACAACUCUUAACAACGGAUAUCUUGGUUCUC